rnacentral:rRNA from 1 species
UACAGAGGGUGCAAGCGUUUAAUCGGAAUUACUGGGCGUAAAGCGUGCGCAGACGGUUGCGUAAGUCAGAUGUGAAAGCCCGGGCUCAACCUGGGAAUUGCAUUUGAGACUGCGUAGCUAGGGUGCGGAAGGGGGAAGCGGAAUUUCCGGUGUAGCGGUGAAAUGCGUAGAUAUCGGAAGGAACACCAGUGGCGAAAGCGGCUUCCUGGUCCAGCACCGACGUUCAGGCACGAAAAGCGUGGGGAGCAAACAGG